UAUAGCUUGUGUUAUAAACCUUGAAAUCUGUAAAUUCUCCAUGUUCCUUCUCUUUUGUCACACUUCUUUUCUUUUUGACAUACGCAUGUGGUGCACGUGCAUGUGUGUGGCCACAGAUGUGUGUGUGCACCCAAUGUGGACGUGCGAUGUCUUCCUCGUUGGCUCUCUGUUUUGUUCAUCGAGGUGGACUCUCUCACUGUACCCCGGAGUCACCAGUUCUAGCCGGACCAGAUGGUCAACUUCCCUGGGAACCCCAUCUCUGCUUCCCCAGUGCUGGGGUUACAGUGAUCAUCAGAGAACCCGGAGCGCCUGAAGGAUGAUGGAGAAACGGAGCCGGGAGUCCUGGGGUGACCUAAAGCAGCUCCCCACCUGCCGGCACUCAACACUCUCUGGAAGGAGGAAUGAGCUUUCCUUGUUUUGAAACACUGUGAUUUUGGAGUUGUCUGAUGUGGGAGUUAGAGCUUAUCCUUUUAAAUAUGUAUGUCUUUAUCCAGCACUGUUUUAAGAGUCCCACCCUCCUUCCCUAUACUCUUUCUGCAUUUUUUUUUUAAAGUAGAGAAAUAUAUGAAUCUAGUUCUGGUUCUACCGCAUCAAAAAAAAAAAGUUGGAGAGAGGAACACAUUGCUGCAUGGCUUGAGAGGGAGAACAUGGCUGGUCCUAAAUUGUUAUCCCUGGAUUAUUAUCCUGCCUAUAUCUUUUACUAGCCGACAAAUCGCUUAAUGUUCAGUCUCAGUCCUCUCACCUAUUUGGUCACGGUCAUAUGGAGCAAUCUGCUUCCUGUUGUCUAUAGCCCACCGUCACAGACAGGGUACCUUGUAAAGACUUGUUAUUUAAAUCCAAGACUGUGGGGCUACCUCAGGGGCUGGACUUCCUGCUGGCAGAGUUCUGAUAGCACAUCCCUCAGAGGGAUGUGUGUGUAUACGUCUCCUAGCCUCUCAGGGCUUACAAAGUCAUCAGAAUCCAACCUGAUGACCUCAUCGCUUUCCUACACCCCACCCCCCACAUGCCAUAGUUAAACGAAGCUCCCCCUCUCUUAAUAUUUCACAUUAGGGUUAAAAUUUCAAUCCAGGAAACUGUAGGGGACAGCCUGAAAUCAUAUCAGAACACCAGCUCCAUGUGUAAGUAAAAGGGGUGUUCAUGAGACCUGGAGCCACAAGGAACAUAAAAGCUGUAGAGCUGCCUGUGAGCUGUGAGCAUGUGAGCUGUAGAGCUGCCUGCUUGAGGGUGAUUGGCAGGCAGGUGGGAGAGGCUGAACACUCCAGAGGGAUGUCUCCACUUCCACAGUUCUCGCCUUCCCUCUUCAGUUCUG
rnacentral:lncRNA from 1 species